AUCUUUUGACUUCUAUGUAUAACUUUUAUCUUAUAAAAAAGGCGCCACAUGUGUAGGCGCCAUUUUUUCAGAUGUAACAUUAUUGUAUCUUUCAAACGAACUAACUUUGAAUUUUUUUUGUUGAGUAAUGAAAUAAGUGUUUUUUGCAUAAUAGUAUUGUCCAUAUUAUUCGCAGAUACAAUAAUUCGCGCCAAGCCUAAUUAUAAUAGUUAUAAAGAAAUUAAAUUUUUCUUUCUUUUAUUGUAUGCGUAUGUCUUUUAUUGUAUUUCUUAAAAUAUUCGUUUUUGAUACUAGAGCCAGUGCUUUUCUCAGAAGGAUUCAGUCUCUCUAGGUUAAGAAUACGUUCUAUAAUCUUUACUUCAUCCAGUUCUCUGCAGAGGGCUUAAUGGUGCCACACAAUGACUUCUGUAGUCUUCACAUGGUUCUUCCUUGAUCAUGGCAUUUACGAUGACCUCCCCUGGACUACUGCAGCACUGACGACAACGUUCUCCGCAUCCGAUCGUGAGUCGCAUGCACUUUUGUUCCUCUGGUCACUCAAUCAUGUCGUAGGAUGAAAGGUCCGAAUCGACACGGGUGACUGGUUGUAUUACGUAGAAUUUUUUGCGAGCAUAGUGACUGCGGGCAUUUAUUAUACCCGCGAGUGGUAACAUUUCCAGUAUACUAUUUAUUAUGUAGUUCAGGAUAGAUCUUUUUUGCACGACACGGUUUUUAUAUUAGUAUAGUAAUUUAU